UACGUAGGGUGCAAGCGUUGUCCGGAAUUAUUGGGCGUAAAGAGCUCGUAGGCGGUCUGUCGCGUCGGCUGUGAAAACUCGGGGCUCAACUCCGAGCUUGCAGUCGAUACGGGCAGGCUAGAGUUCGGCAGGGGAGACUGGAAUUCCUGGUGUAGCGGUGAAAUGCGCAGAUAUCAGGAAGAACACCGGUGGCGAAGGCGGGUCUCUGGGCCGAUACUGACGCUGAGGAGCGAAAGCGUGGGGAGCGAACAGG
rnacentral:rRNA from 1 species